rnacentral:hammerhead_ribozyme from 1 species
AUCCUGUUGACGAGUCCCAAAUAGGACGAAACGCGCGUCCUGGAU